rnacentral:misc_RNA from 1 species
AAAGUCGUAACAAGGUUUCCGUAGGUGAACCUGCGGAAGGAUCAUUAUCGGAUCCAAAGGGAUGUUGCUGGCCUUUACAAGUCGUGCACUCCCGCCUUUACAUCCACCUGUGCACUUGCUGUAGACUAGGAUUAAUUUCCGAGUCUAUGUUUUCAUAUACUCUAAAGUAAAGUAAAUGAAUGUAUUUUAGGCUUCGGCCAAAAAACAAUACAACUUUCAACAAUGGAUCUCUUGGUUCUC